GUUGAACGCUGGCGGCAUGCCUUACACAUGCAAGUCGAACGGCAGCGGGGACUUCGGUCCGCCGGCGAGUGGCGAACGGGUGAGUAAUGUAUCGGAACGUACCAUUGAGUGGGGGAUAACGUAGCGAAAGUUACGCUAAUACCGCAUAUUCUCUCCGGAGGAAAGCAGGGGACCGCAAGGCCUUGCGCUCUUUGAGCGGCCGAUAUCAGAUUAGCUAGUUGGUGGGGUAAAAGCUCACCAAGGCGACGAUCUGUAGCGGGUCUAAGAGGAUGAUCCGCCACACUGGAACUGAGACACGGUCCAGACUCCUACGGGAGGCAGCAGUGGGGAAUUUUGGACAAUGGGGGCAACCCUGAUCCAGCCAUGCCGCGUGAGUGAAGAAGGCCUUCGGGUUGUAAAGCUCUUCCGGCCGGGAAAAAAUCGCAUGGGUUAAUACCCUGUGUGGAUGAUGGUACCGGAAUAAGAAGCACCGGCUAACUACGUGCCAGCAGCAGCCGCCGUAA
rnacentral:rRNA from 1 species